CACAUUGGGACUGAGACACGGCCCAAACUCCUACGGGAGGCAGCAGUGGGGAAUAUUGCACAAUGGGGGAAACCCUGAUGCAGCGACGCCGCGUGAGUGAAGAAGUAUUUCGGUAUGUAAAGCUCUAUCAGCAGGGAAGAAGAAAGACGGUACCUGACUAAGAAGCCCCGGCUAACUACGUGCCAGCAGCCGCGGUAAUACGUAGGGGGCAAGCGUUAUCCGGAUUUACUGGGUGUAAAGGGAGCGUAGACGGCUGUGCAAGUCUGAAGUGAAAGCCCAGGGCUCAACCCUGGGACUGCUUUGGAAACUGUGGAGCUAGAGUGCUGGAGAGGUAAGUGGAAUUCCUAGUGUAGCGGUGAAAUGCGUAGAUAUUAGGAGGAACACCAGUGGCGAAGGCGGCUUACUGGACAGUAACUGACGUUGAGGCUCGAAAGCGUGGGGAGCAAACAGGAUUAGAUACCCUGGUAGUCCACGCGGUAAACGAUGAAUACUAGGUGUUGGAGAGCAAAGCUUUUCG
rnacentral:rRNA from 1 species